GACGAACGCUGGCGGCGUGCCUAAUACAUGCAAGUCGAACGCAGUGGGGACGGGUGAGUAACACGUGGGUAACCUCCCAUCAGAGGGGAUAACUCUUGGAAACAGGUGCUAAACCGAUACUGAUGGAUGGCCCCGCGGUGCAUUAGCUAGUUGGUGAGGUAACGGCUCACCAAGGCCACGAUGCAUAGCCGAGCUGAGAGGGUGAACGGACAAACGGGAACGGAGACACGGCCCAGAGUCCAACGGGAGGCAGCAGUAGGGAAUGUAAGGCAAUGGACGAAAGUCUGACCGAGCAACGCCGCGUGAGUGAAGAAGGUUGUCGGAUCGAAAAACACUGUUGUUAGAGAAGCGGUAUCGAACCAGAAAGCCACGGCUAACUACGUGCCAGCAGCCGCGGUAAUUC
rnacentral:rRNA from 1 species